GGGUUGUGAGGUUAAGCGAAUAAGCGUACACGGUGGAUGCCUAGGCAGUCAGAGGCGAUGAAGGACGUGCUAAUCUGCGAAAAGCGUCGGUAAGCUGAUAUGAAGCGUAAUAGCCGGCGAUGUCCGAAUGGGGAAACCCAGUGCAAU
rnacentral:rRNA from 1 species